UACGUAGGGUGCGAGCGUUAAUCGGAAUUACUGGGCGUAAAGCGCGCGUAGGCGGCUUGUUAAGUCGGAUGUGAAAUCCCUGGGCUCAACCUAGGCAUUGCAUUCGAUACUGGCAAGCUAGAGUAUGGGAGAGGAAGGUAGAAUUCCAGGUGUAGCGGUGAAAUGCGUAGAGAUCUGGAGGAAUACCGAUGGCGAAGGCAGCCUUCUGGCCUAAUACUGACGCUGAGGUGCGAAAGCAUGGGGAGCAAACAGG
rnacentral:rRNA from 1 species